UGGGGCUUGGGGCAGCUAUAAUGCAGUCGAGCGACAGAUAGGAGCUUGCUCCUUUGACGUUAGCGGCGGACGGGUGAGGAACACGUGGGUAACCUACCUAUAAGACUGGGAUAACUUCGGGAAACCGGAGCUAAUACCGGAUAACAUUUGGAACCGCAUGGUUCUAAAGUGAAAGAUGGUUUUGCUAUCACUUAUAGAUGGACCCGCGCCGUAUUAGCUAGUUGGUAAGGUAACGGCUUAUCGUAGUACUAUCCGCAUCUGACCUAGAGGGUAUCGUAUCUGACGACCCUGUUCAUAUCUAACGAACGCAGCAGUAUGGUAUUCUCCGCAUGAAGAAGCUGAUGGAAGGCAUGCUGCUGUAGUGAUGAAUGGAUUUCGCUAGUUAACUCUCGUAGUUAGGGAAGAACCAGACGUGUAACGUACUGUGCCAUGUCUUGACGGUACUAAUCAGAAAGCCACAACUACUUACGUGCCAGCAGCCGUGGUAGUUACGUAGUUGGCAGCGUUAUCAUGAAUUAUUGGGCGUACAGCGCGCGUCGGUCGGCCUCCUAAAGUCUGAUGAGAACAGCCCACGCCUCACCCGUGGGAGGGUCAUUGGAAACUGGGAAACUGAGUGCAGAAGAAGAAAAGUGGAAAUUCCCCUGUGUAGCGGUGAAAUGCGCAGAGAUAUGGGAGGAACACCAGUGGCGAAGGCCGACUUUUCUGGUCUGUAACUGACGCUGAUGUGCGAAAGCGUGGGGAUCAAACAGGAUUAGAUACCCCUGGUAGUCCACGCCGUAAACGAUGAGUGCUAAGUGUUAGGGGGUUUCCGCCCCCUUAGUGCUGCAGCUAACGCAUUAAGCACUCCGCCUGGGGAGUACGACCGCAAGGUUGAAACUCAAAGGAAUUGACGGGGACCCGCACAAGCGGUGGAGCAUGUGGUUUAAUUCGAAGCAACGCGAAGAACCUUACCAAAUCUUGACAUCCUUUGAAAACUCUAGAGAUAGAGCCUUCCCCUUCGGGGGACAAAGUGACAGGUGGUGCAUGGUUGUCGUCAGCUCGUGUCGUGAGAUGUUGGGUUAAGUCCCGCAACGAGCGCAACCCUUAAGCUUAGUUGCCAUCAUUAAGUUGGGCACUCUAGGUUGACUGCCGGUGACAAACCGGAGGAAGGUGGGGAUGACGUCAAAUCAUCAUGCCCCUUAUGAUUUGGGCUACACACGUGCUACAAUGGACAAUACAAAGGGCAGCUAAACCGCGAGGUCAUGCAAAUCCCAUAAAGUUGUUCUCAGUUCGGAUUGUAGUCUGCAACUCGACUACAUGAAGCUGGAAUCGCUAGUAAUCGUAGAUCAGCAUGCUACGGUGAAUACGUUCCCGGGUCUUGUACACACCCCCCGUCUCACCACGAGAGUUUGUAACACCCGAAGCCGGUGGAGUAACCAUUUAUGGAGCUAGCCGUCGAAGGUGACAAAAAUUUCC
rnacentral:rRNA from 1 species